GGUGCCUUUCUGAGCACUUGGGGAAAAAGACGCAACUCUUAGAAAGAAGAUAAAAAGCUUCUGCAAAUAUUUAUGAACAGGAAAUCGAUCAAGCUGUAAUGAAUCUCAUUAUAUAAAACAACUUUUGAGUGCUGUAGCUCCUACCUCUGGCUCCACAAGGGAGAACAUCUCUUGCUGGGGGCAUAAGGAGGAGGUACUGCCACACAGGUGUGGGGUAGGGGAGUGGUGAUGCUGCUGGGGCUGUGAUGGAAGCACCUGGGGUCCUGCUGGGACUUUAUUGAAUCCCAUCAGUGCUAACAGGAUGCAGGUGUUGCUGCUUUUUCCCAGUGCUGGUUUGGUCUCAGCAGUGGCUGCAGUCCCCAUCUGCUCUCUGUCUGCCCCCAGCUAUGGCUGCAGAUCAGAGUUCUAAGGCAACUUGAAAUAGCAGACUGCAAUACAUCUCCCUGCCGUCCAUCCAAGCAUCCCAGAAGUACCCUUAUGACCCGAGAAGCUGUAGGUCCUGUUCUUUCAUUUUGAAUGAAUUUGGAUUUGCAAAUAUGUGGACGCUACUUUUGGCUGUUCUGAAAUAUCAGGAGAGUGUUUGAAGGUAUCACCCACCUUUCAGCUUUAGAAGGUGUUUUCUGCUUCUCCCCCACAGUGACCCAUCAAUGCAAGUGUUUCUCUGCUGGAAGCCACUCACUGUUCUCAGCAAGGAGAUAUAAGGAGCAGUCAGGAGGAGCACAACCCCUCCACUGGCCCAAAGCAGAACCAAAGAGAUAUUCCUUUUCACACUGUUGUCUUUGCGUGGCUGUGGGUGAUUAAUUGCAUCACAUUCCAGCUCAUGCAAAAUACAGUUUGAACAAAUGUCCUUGCUGUGAUCUGGCAAUUUAAAUUAUCCUGUCUGCAGAAGUUUGGGGUGUUUUAGCAUUAACUCGUGCUGUCUGAAUGAGGUGUGACUGAGGUAGCCCAAGAGCUAAUUAAAGAGUUGCUGUGUUUUUAAAAAUUCCAUCACCAUUAAUGUUGGUGUCUGCAGUAUCUGGAGCGUGCAUCAACAGCGGCUCAGACCUGGCAGUGCUGCUCGGCGUUCCUUCUGGCGGAAGACCUUUCCCUUUGUGAUGCACAUCUUACUUCUGCAAUGUUUGUUUAACUUCAGCUGUCACUGCUUACAUAAUGCCUCACUCUGCCUGCAGUUUUCAAGGUCAGAUUUGGGUUUUACUUGAACAAACAGCGAGUGCCUGCGCAGGGAAUAGAGAGCUGCAGACAGAAUGUGCUCCUGAUGUAAUGCGGAUACCUCCAAAAUCUGGCUGCUAGAAGGGGUUAUUGCAGCUGUCUCACACGCUCUGGGAGGAUUGCCUUAGAGUUGGCCUUUUCACUCAUGAAGAAUAGGUAAAAAUCUGAAUUCUAUGAUGCGUUUUGUUGAGUUUUCUCCUUUGGUCAUUGCUUUACCUGCUCACUGUCUUCAUGGACAGGGCAAUCUGUGUCCUUUAAAUACAGGGAAUUAAUGAAACCUGUGCUGUGGAUAAUUUGCCUUAUCAGCACUUCAUCAGAAACCCAGGUGGAUCUGAUCUUUGUGAACACUCAUCUUCUGUGGGUUCACCUGAAGCUGUGAACCUGGGCACACACUGACCUGUCCCCGUUUUCUAGUUCAUUGCUGCAAAGUGUGCAAGCUUUGUGGCACUGAGGAGUUUAGGCAGCAAAGCUAUUCUGAUACCAGUGCUCGUACUUCUAAUUCUUCACCUAAUGGUCCUCCUUGCUUCUUGCAUCUGGUCUUCCCGAAAUAAGAAUAAAGCUGGAGGAGGCACAAUUACUCAGAACUGCUCCAAGAUGCUUUCCAGUGAUCAGAGGACUGUACGUGGCUUUGCAGUUUUGAUUAUUGAAUUAGGAAUUGGAGGAGAAUGGAAUAUUGGCUUGGGCACGGUGGGCUGCCAGGUUGGGCUCAAGACUGGCUGCACCCCUGGAAACAGCACACUGCAGUGGGACCUAUGGUGAAGCUCUCAUCCUGCAGAGCUCUGAUUGUGGCAUGCUGAGCCUUUGCCAGGCUCCGGGGAAGAGGUAUUCAUGUAGGUCAUAAUGGGCAGCACGUGUUCAGAGGUGUCUGGGAGUUCAUCUGUCUGACAACAUCACUUUAUUUUUCCAGCUGAGCAGCUGCUUGGCCGGCUUGCUGGGAGCUGAUUGACUGCCUAGCUGGAGGGGAGAAGGUGAUUAGACUCUCUCCCACCCAUCAGCCCUGAAGGGAGAGUGUGAUGGAUGGAACUUAACUUAUUUCCAAUAGUGAAAUCUUGAUUUCUCUGUGUGGGGCACUUGCAAAACAUUGUUUCUUACUGAGUUCCCCAUCAGCAGAGCUGCUCUUGGCAUUCAGGAGCAGCAGGGCCCAACCCUGCACUGACACCAUGAGAAUGGGGCUCAGAGGAAGGACCAGGCCCUCAUCUCCUUGUAAGGUGAACAAAUAACAUGGGUUUGAAACCUCUGGGCUGCAAACAGCUUGGAAAUCUGACAAAAUGCAUUGCUGCCACCUCUACUCCCUGACAGAUAGCUUUGUUCUGUUAUAUCUGACUGCAAAGCUGUAAAGAUUUCAUACAGCACAGAUUAAUGCUGUGAGAUGCUGCUGGUCUCAGACAGACAGAAAGAGCCACAACAACAGAGCAUAAUGUGAUGCAGAGAUGAAAUUUAACAUAGACAAACUGCAGCUGAUCGACUUUUUAGUCUCUCAAAAGAAAAUUCACAAACCACUCUCACUUCAAGUAACAAAGCAGAUGAAACCUCCAGGUUUUGCUGUUCCCUGCUUCUGGGCUCCUUGCUGCUGGGGGCUCCUGUUUGCCUGAGGAGGGGGCUGCUGGCUCUUUGCGCUCAUAUGAACGUGGGCUUUGGGAAAACCUCUGGUAUGGAUAUGAAGGGUUGAAAAUGAGCAAUAAAUAAUAGCAAAUAUAAUAAAUAGUGGGCUCUAAAAUGUUCUGCUAAAAUACUGGACUGUUUUCAGUACUGUGCAGAUGACAGUUUUCUGUUUUCAAUAACUUAAAGUGGAGCCAUAGAAUUUCAAUCACUUUCCAUCUUACGGAGAGCUGAAUUCCUUCAGAAUAACUCAGAGGAAUUGACUGAACCGUAUUUUUCAUGUUUCCCAAAUGAGCAGCUCUGUGGCAUGGAAAUUAGGAUGGAACAGGAAACAGACGGCUGUGCUGCCUCCGUCCUGCUGAGGAGAUGAAGGUCAAAGACACCUUCAUUCUUCUCAACACUUCUCCUCCCAAAGGGGUUGUAAAUAAGAUCACAGCCUAGUGUGAUUAAUUGUGAAUAAAACCAAUUCCUAUUGCCUCCGAACCAGAUUGAGAGCAACUUCUGCUACAGUAGGUGCUGUGUUUGAUAGUGUUCUCUUCCCACCGUAUUUUGGACCUUGAACUGAUUUAUAUAAGAGAUAGCAAAAUUAGGAGAACUUCUCGCAUGUUUGACCCUGUGUUAUUUCCAUGUCUUUAUCCCCUUAUUGCAAGUUCUGCAACGUGAAAAAAGCCCAGUGUUUAUUAGGUAGCCAGGCUGGAGGAGCCUUCUGUUGGCAUGGUGUGCAGAGCUUUCCCUGGGCUGUCUUUGAUUCCUAAUGCUUCUGGUGAAAUUGGAGAUAGCCCUAAGAUCUGUCAUCUUCCCGUAUGGAGACCAGCUUUUAUUCCUUUCUAUGGGGCACAGGUCAAGCACUGCAUUAAACAGAACUCUUACAUUUGAGUAAGUGCAACUAAAAAUCGAGCACAGGAAUCACUGCAUGUGUCAAACAGAAAACAACGCCCUGCCUUACACUGAGGGCAAGUGCAAUCAGAUCUUGGCCUUGUCUACGUUUGACAAAUUACGUGUGUUUGUUUCUGAAACCUCCAUCUCGUGCUGCUGCCUUAUCUGAACCCUUCCCUUUGCUGCUGAUACCACUUUGCUUUCCUUAGCCACAAAGUGGAGACGUUACAAUUUCCUCACGUGUAACACUUUGCUCCUUUUGUCUGAAAUGGCACAAAUGAAUCUCCCAGAAAGUAAAACAGAAGUCUGCCUCCACCUGUCACACCACGACCCUCCAGCUGAGGUCUGAACCCUGGCCUUGGGCAAUCCAGUUCCCGUGUGUUUGGUCUUCUCUCAGUUCUCACAGAUACUUUGUGUUAGCAGGUUACACAGGGUUGGUAGUUACAAUGAGAAACAAUGAAAACCAAAUGCAGCAGCUGGGCAGGAGGGAUUAUUUUCCCAGUGAAGCAGGGUGAAGUUCUCCUGAGGCAUCUUGCAGUUAUUUGAAGAAGUGACUGAAUUUCCCACUGCAACUCAAGGGCUGUGAAGUCUCCUGUUCUUACUGCCUCCUGGUUUCAUGUAAAUAUGGUAUGUUGACAUUUAAACGUUCCCCUGAUUGCCGUGAGGACAUCGCAGUGAGCGCACCCAUGGUGAGCAAGGAGAGGGUUAAGCUGCUGAGCACAGUAAAACCUCCUUUAAGCCUGAGCUCGUAAAGGAAAGGAGGAUUUCCAAGUAAUAUACUGCUUGAACUCAUUUUAGCCCUCAGCCUUUCUUAGGGCAAAACCCAUCAACUGUGUUAAACAGUGCACAUACUGGUCAUUGCCAAAGGGUUUAGCCUUCCCCCAGGAGAUGUUUGGCUAACGAGGUGGUUUGCUGUGCAUACAGACGUGUCUGACGAGCAGUCAGUGCUCUGCGAAGUCCUCACCUAAAGAAGAACAAAUAAAGAGGAAAAAAACGAAUAGAGCAUGCAGUUUCCUGCAUCCAUAAAGCACAAUCUCUGCUCUCAGUGGAUCUCUCUGUUUUGUGUCAGGACUCCUCUGAUUGGAGCUGUUGGCAUUACUGAGCCUGACCUGCUGAAUGCGGUGCUACCAGCUGCAUUAAUUCUGUGCCUUCUCUGUUACGUAAGAAUCAUUUUGAGUUUAAUUUAAGGAAAUUCUUGUUUACAUGUUAUACAGAACAGGAAGUCUGUGGUGGGCAAAUGGUCACAGAGCUUGUCAGCCUGAGUUAUUGGGAGUAGCACUUAAUGGUUUUUCUAAACCAAAGACAUUGCAACUCCUUUAAGCACGGCAGCUUACAGAAAAUUAAGUGAAAUCAGCUGCAAUGAAUUAAAUGACAGAAGGCUCUUGAACUUACUUAUACUGAAACUUGAAAACAGUCCAAGUAAGGAUUUUGAAAGCACACGCUUGCUUAACAGGAAACAUUGCAAGUGACUUUACGAAGUGACAUUUAAUCCACAUUCAUUUCUAUGUAUGGAUGUUAAAUCAGCUUCCGAAAUCCUUAAUUUGAGCCGAAGAUCUGAAUGCAGAACACUCAGCUGAUGGCACAGUUUUCCUGUGAGCAUGAGCUGCUGGUGCUGCAGAGCAAGGCCCCCUCCUGCAGCCAGCAGCACCCGCGCUGCUCUGUGCUGCACCGCUUCCCCGCGGCGCGUGGUGUUCUCCUCCCUUCUCUGCACCCGGGAGGGAAUGGAAACAUGGAACCACGUUGUCAGGAUAAUGUUUGGCUUCUAUUAUUAUCUGUGAAGAAUUUGGUCAGUUAAAUGGCAACAUGUUCAAAUUGCAAAAUCCCUACCCAUCUUCAUGCUUCUACCCCCGGUUUUGAAUCUGUUUUCAAUAUUGUUUUGACAGAUUGAGAAUAAAAAUCUGAGAGUUGAAGUCUUCAGAUCUGAAACCUCCCAGCAGCCAGUGAUCCUGUCAGAAAAGGGAACGAGUGAGUCACAGGAAAAGCCCGGGGGGCAUCUCUGUGCACAGCCCAAUUCCUCUUCAUCUUGGAGCAGCCUCGUGCUGCGGCACAGCACCCGGGGUUGGUGGCACUGCGAGCGAGCAGAGCUGCACCGCCUCACCUCCUGUGCUGCCUCUCGGGGCUUUGGGAUGAGGAGGUUUGUCUGCUCGGU